GCGAGGUUAAUUGUUCCCCUGAAACAAUGAAAAUUCCUGAAGUCAAAGGCUGCGUGAAGUAACUUCCUCUUUGGUCAGUACGUUUGGGUUUGUUUUGAUUAAUUUCUUCAAAGACUGCCCAAACCGCCACCUUGAUGCCUUUUUGAACUGUUUUUAUUGUAUGAAAGACUUCAGCAAGUAUGACUAUUGUGAAAAAGGAUAUUUAGUCUGAUUCAGCCCCAGCAGACAUCCCCUCCCUGCUGCAGACAAGCUUCACAGACAAGGUCCUUUUGGUGGCACAAGUGGCAAAACCAGCAUAAGACUUAACAGGAGCUUAACGUGACUCCACCUUCUUGGUAGAAACCAAACAGCUAAAUACAUCAAGCAGUCAUUACUUCAAUUCCCACACACCCCAUCAAAAUAAUAAA